CAAAGAUUCUAAUGGAGUUUGGGUUGGUAGAGAAAAUCUUUGAGUUAGUAAAAUUUCAUACUAAUCAAUUACUUUAACACUAUGAAAUAUUUUGCAACUCACGUCUGCCUAAAGCAGGACUGCUAAAAUACGAAGAUGACGUGUAAUUCCUCAGUCGCACCACUGGGUGGAGCCAUUUCCACAGCAAAGAUACAACGAAGCGAGAGAGAGAUCAAAGUUGGGGAGGUGGCCUUCGACGACAAUGACGACGACGACGACGACAUAGCACACAUGUUUACAGAAAGAAGAUGAAGCAAGGGCAUGCCUGGCGCCAACAGAGG
ensembl:lncRNA